UACGGAAGGUCCGGGCGUUAUCCGGAUUUAUUGGGUUUAAAGGGAGCGUAGGCCGGAGAUUAAGCGUGUUGUGAAAUGUAGACGCUCAACGUCUGCACUGCAGCGCGAACUGGUUUCCUUGAGUACGCACAAAGUGGGCGGAAUUCGUGGUGUAGCGGUGAAAUGCUUAGAUAUCACGAAGAACUCCGAUUGCGAAGGCAGCUCACUGGAGCGCAACUGACGCUGAAGCUCGAAAGUGCGGGUAUCGAACAGGAUUAGAAACCCUGGUCCGCUGACUGACU
rnacentral:rRNA from 1 species